rnacentral:rRNA from 1 species
AUGGCCACGCCCACGCAGAGCAGCCCGCUCCGCCGAUGGAAGCGUUUCUUCCGCGCCUUCGACUCUGUGGAUGCCGCCAUCAACAUCAAGCCCUCCGACCCUGACCACUCACGCGGCGAGCUCCGGCGCGCCAGGGUCGACAUCGUGGAGCAGCUCUGCGACGCCGCGGACGACGAUCAGGCGGAGCGCCUCUGCCGGAUUCUCGACGACCACAUGGCGGAGUCCCUUGAGACGCUGCGACUGGUUCCCGUGAUGCCCAACCUGUUGGUUUCCACGGACCUCGGCAAGUCCGUCUGCGCGCUGCGCAGGCACGAGUCGGAGCGCGUCCGCGUCCUGGCCAGAGGCCUCGUGAGCGGGUGGAGGGCGUCCAUGCAAGACGAGCUCGCCAAGGUCAGACACGCUCUGCACAAGCUUGACAACAUCAACAUGCUGCAGACAAAGGAGAUCACCGCCGAUUCUGACAUAGCCAAGACGAAGGCGUCGGUCUUGAAGACGGUGGCAAUCAGAAAAGAUGCGCCCGGUUCCGCCGCGGGGGACCGUGCUGGCCUCUGCUCCGAGGAGAAGAUGGAAGCCGCGAAACGCAAAUUCCGCCAAGGUUACCAAGAAGCAGAGGACGCCAAACGGCUGCGCAGGACACAAUUGGUGCAGGCGCCCAAGAUGAUGCAGCCAAUCAGGAGGUGCUCCAGCUCCAUGGUCAAGAAAACCUUCUCGAUCAGGAGGCAGCUUCACAUGGCUUAG